CCUGCAGGAGGCAAUGGGCGAGCACAGCCAUUAGCGACGGUGGCCGCGGGGCAUGGAGCGGCUGAUCCCGGCACCUCCCCAAGCCCGUAGCCUCUCCGGGCCCUGGCACCGUUCUCCCUGGGGCAGCUCCCCCUCCGGCCUCCGCCCGGCCCAUCGCCACCGACCCUGCCCUUCCGUGCCCGCCCCGCCGCCCGGUGCCCACCCGGCUGCGCAGCCGGCUCCACUACCGGGAGCACUGUGCCAGGUCACUUCUCCUCCCCCUUCCCAUGCCCUGUGUAUCGACGUGGGGUUUUGUGUAAAAGACAAAGCCCCAAGAUAAGGAAGACUUAGAGGCCAAGUGCUCGUUCCGGGCAAACAACGCGUGUUGUCCCCGCAGACUUCAAUGUCCUACAGAAAGAGUGGUCAGUGUUUUAUCCCUGGGAAGGUUUUUAAGUUAAACACAUUUCUCACACUGCCCCAGGUGCUCGUGGAAAUAUUCGUCAUAGCUUGGCUAGAUCACAUCUCAUCCACUCCAUUCUUGCACCGAUUACAAUGCCGUGGAAGAUCCACACCCUGCCUCCUUUCCCCGCUCCUUGGCUUGCUGACACCGUGUGUUAAGGGACAAAAUCUUUCAAAAAGACGUCGUUUGUGGGUCUCAAAACGAUAUUCAGCAGGAGGAUGACAAGGCCGGUGCACGGCACUGUCGUGAGAGUAGGAUUCCCGUUUCAUUUGAACCUACUCAGUCAUGGAAGGAAUUGCAAUCGGGAUUAAUUUGUCUGGUAAUAUGAUAAGUGACGUUAAGCAUAAUAGAAAUAUAAUAGUGCUGCUGGAGUCGUGUGAAAGUUUAACCUCGGGAUCGGGUAUACCGUGCAUGGUACACAAUAUAUAAGAGGUUUUCAAGGAAAUAUGCCACAGACAGCUUCGGGAUGAAAUGUUGACUACAUUAUUGUGGCUGAUAAUAGCAAACUGCAAAACCUUGCUCACCGAGGAGUGCCCAAGUCUCGCACCAACCGAGUAUGAAAAUAUCCUACUCAUCCGUCAAAAGCCAAAACGUAUCAGGGAGCUGAGGACACCACAAAAAUGUAUGGCCGAACCUUAAACGUGAAGUGCAAACAAAGCCACUGUGUUCACCAUCAUGGCGUACGCGUUCGAAAGGACUUCCAACCUUUGUAAAAGCUUCCAGGUUUGGGGUUUUUUUCCCGAUUUCCCCCCCCCUCUCAGUUUGUCACGAUUAAAUUUCCGAGGGACACAGCCCACCUCGUGCUCGGCUGCGAGCAGAGUCAGAUAAAGGAAGGCAUUCCAAAUAUUUCACAUGAAUGCACUUUAUGCAAGGUGGGUGGGAAAAAGCUCAUGGCUCCGUGUUCAAAGUGUGUCCUUUCCGCACUGUGAUCAUCAACGAGGAGUUCUCAUAUCCUGAUCCGCUAAUAUUUGCACAGAGGAUGGGUAAAUACCUGGCGUUAGAGGGAAGUGGAGUAGAGAUUAAAAGUAAGGUCUCUUAGAAAACGAUGUGGGUCCUGUAACCAAAUACCGUAGACAUACAGCUGUGCAUAUGUAUAGACACACGCACGCAUAUAAUCUAAUUAUAGUUUCACGUAAGGAAACAAUUUGACCUUGAGCAUCCAAGUUGAGACAAUAAAUCAAGGAUAUUAGUGUAGUACAAGCAAGCAGGAGUUAGGAGACCCCAGGGAAAGCCAUCCUCAUAAGCAUUCUGUGCAAAGUGAGUUACAUUCAGGUAAAAGCGGGCUGGGGCGCAUUCCGCUUCCUAGAGAGUUGAAAAAUGUUCAACUUCGCUUAACCCCUGAAAGAGCCACUGAAAAGUCCCUGCGUACAGUCAGGUUUCAAGUGGGAAAAGGGUAGCAUUUUCUCAGCUGCCCGGUUUGCAUUCCCUGAACGCCUCAAUAAAGAGGAGACAUCCGAGCCAUUUGCAUUGUAUUCCUUUCGCGAAAGCAGUUUUUCUUACUUGGAAAUCCGUACCGGGCAGGGAGAGGACAUUUUACAGGUCCUGGCUGCCGCAGCCCGGGCUUGGAGGUGCAGCCACGCAGAAAGUUCCCCGGGCGAUGGAGAAGCGCCGGAUCUCAACCGCCAUUUUACCCCCACACUUGUAGCUGGGCAAAAGUGCUCAGUGAAAUUCAGCUUGGAAAUUGUGGCAUAAUCCCCUGUCUCCGGGAGUGGAUUAAGAUGGCCACCUGGAGCUGCACUGGGAGGCUGCUCAUGGAGUCCAGUGAACACAGAGGGAUUCCCAGCUUCUGAGUGGUGAUGGUGGUGACCAUGGUGUCCGGGGCAGCUACCUGUUGUUGAGACAAACAGUCCGUGGUGAGAACGUGCAGCGGGGUGUUGCUCGGUCAGCCCUGGCAUGAGUGGGGCCGGCAGGUUUCUGCGUAUGAAGAAGUCCCUACCUGCUGCCAGAGCCUGGGCUGGGUGAGAGACAGGGUAAGGGACUGCUGGUGAUUGCGCCGGGCCAAACGUUCCCGUUUGACUAGAGACCACCUCGGCUUGGCCUGCCAUAUGAUGAUGAUGAUGAUGAUGGUGGUGGUGGUGGUGGUGCAGCUGGUGGUGGGGAUGAGGGGCAGGGCUGAGCUUAAGGGCCGCGGGGUUAUGCUGAGGAGGAGGAUGAGGAUGGUGGCGGUGCCCCAUGUGUUCUGGCCGGAGCGAGUGUGGCCCGAGGCGGAAUUCGGCGGCGUGCUCGCCCGACUGCCUGGGCGCCGUGGCGUGCGGGUGCCCGGCGAAGCCUGGGAAGGCUGUCAUGCUCGGGGGGGGGUAGUGGUGGCAAGGAGCCCCCGCCAAGUCUACUAAUCUCAGUGCCGUGUUCCGCCUGGAGAGAGCAGCAGGGUCCAUCACUGGGAUCCCAGAGCAUCCACACUCAUUAGCUUCUAAACGCUAAAAAGUCACCUGACAGCGGGAGAAGAGACACACGGGUGGGGGUGGAAAAAACAAAACUUUUUUUUUUCCCAAAAAAAGUUUCCCGGUGCCGCUGUCCCGGCGGCGGGGCGCGCGGGCGGCGUUGCCAGCGGGCGGGCUCGGCAGGGCCGGCGGGGGCUCGGUGUUGGCGGCGGGAGCCGGGGAGGUGCCCCCGCGCCGCCCGUCCUCCCGCGGGGCCGGCGGGCAGCCCCACGCGGCGCGGCCGCGGGACAGGGCGCGAGCGGCCGCGCGCCGCCUCCGAGCCGUGGCGCCGGCCCCGCCGGCCAAACAAUCGCCACGCCUUCCCAUUGGCUGCCGCCGCGGUGACGUCAGCGAUGACAGGUACCGCUGCCGAUUGAAAGGGUGAUCGCUCGGUGCGGCGGGGGAGGUUAAGUGCUGGGGGAAGGUCUGCGCAUGCGCUGCUGCCGGGCGUCCCCUUCCUCCGGCCCCCCCCGCCCCACGGAGCCCCUCGAGCCGGGCCGGGGGCACGGCGGAGCCCGCGGCCUGGCCCGACGGCGGGAGGCCAUGACCGGGAUCUUCCCCUAAACCGCCCUACGUCUUCCCCUAAGCCGCCCUACCUCCUGCUUUUGGGACAUCGCCGAGACUUCCCCGACGGGAUGCCGUCGUAGGGGAACAAAGCCAAGGCGGGCGGGGGCAUCCGGAGAAGAGCAAUCCGGCCGCCCGUCCAGGCCUUUGUCUGGUCCCGCUGCCCUGCUCCGAGGCGGAGGGGCAGCCGGCGGGGUUCCCCUCCGGGAGAGCCCAUCAGCCCACCCGGUCCCCGCCGCCCAGCCGGAGCAGCGGGAGGCGAGACGGCCCCACGCCCCCCACGAAGCGCGCCCGGACCAGCCCGCCGGUCCCUGGCACUUGUUGACAGCGCGGGGAGCGGGGCCUUCCCCGGCAAAAACAGCCGCUGGAGCCGCACCGGCAGCUCACGCGUUCGGCCUGGUGCGUGGGCUGUGGGACCGCUGCCUGAACCCUGACAAAGGAUUCCCCAUCCCCUUUUCCUUCUUCGACAAGUUUUAGCAGUUAUCUGGUUAUUGGCUGCAGGAGCAAUGCAAGAAAACGUGAUGUUUAGACUGAAUCUGAGUAUUUAACCCAGAAGAGGGAGACUCUGUCCUUUUCCCUCUCUCAUACACACACUUACAGGGUAGUUCCAUGUAAAAUCCCCAUCCUUGGCUUGAAGGAAAAGCAUUGCAAAACAUUCAAAAACGAGUCAGUUCUGACGCUUCUCUGCUGAACGAAGGAACAUGGUCUGCAGGGUUUGCGUCACUAGUGAUGAAAGUGUAGGUUAGCGUUUCAGCUUUACACACUGAGGCCUUACAGGUUUAGAAAAGCUUAUGGCUUCAGCACAGAAGGAAGCAUCCACGUAAUUUUUAAGAAAGGGAUUGUGAACUUUAAAAAGUAAAUGAAACAUGGGAAAAGAAAGAAAAAAAUAGGAUUUCUGCUUCCAGAAAGGAAAACACAGCUGUAAAUAUCUGCCCACAGUAUUACCACAGAACCUGGAUCCUGUCAUUAAAAUGACUCCACCAAUAAACUCACAGCCUUACUAAAUAGAGCAAUAAUUAUUUCUCUAUCCAUCUUGUCAAACUCUCAGCAUUUUAGUACAUUGACUUGCUGUUGACUUGGCAGUGGAUACUUUACUGCAUGCACACCAGGUAAAGCUCCCAGCAUGGAAUUUUGCGUCUCCAUAGAAAUUUAACAGUGUCAGCAAUGGAUAGGUUUUAUGUUAAGUGGUAAAACAAGAAUCCGGCAAUGCCAAUCUAGAAUCUUCCAUAUACAGAAGCUACAGCCAAUGAUCAGAAACUGUAAGAUUAAAGUGUAGGACAUAUAUAACCACAUAGGGGACAUUUUUAUCACAGAUUCACACACUCUGAGCUGGCUACAGUUACAUAUUUUGGCUCUGCUUGGCUCCACCACAUUUCCUUUGUAUAACAAGACUUAUAUUUAGGUAGCAAGCUAUAGGUACAUCCCUGUAUACAUCUUUCUGAGUGGAGAUGAUGAAAAGUGACAAAUGAUGCAAUUAGCUCUCCAUCCUUACAUAACAUGUUUAUGCAGACAUUUUAAACCACACACCAUCCUCACAAUAUCGCAACUUUCAAGUCUACUUGCUCUACAAAAUGGAUUUGACAGUUCUAUUCAUGACCAUUUCAAUAGGAGUGCACAGAAGAGACAAACGUUAGGAAGUAUGAAUCUGUUACUUACAAAUGUACUGAAAGUGUGAAUUCCAAAUAAAGCUGCUUUCCUCAUACCUCCUUAAAACA